rnacentral:lncRNA from 1 species
GGCCAACUUUCAUGUGGAUCAUCAUUGGAGGGUUUCUACUUUGGAGUCUUGUGGAGGUCACCAAUAUGCCACAUUGUCUUUUUGAUGAAAGUAAAAAAUUCUAUCCCUUUUAUAUGCUUGUUUUGUUUUGAUCGACACCGACAAGAUGAUUCUAGGGUUUGAAUUUUGGCUUGAUAGUUUUAAUCAUUAAAGCUAUUGACUUAUUUGAUUUUAAAAUUUUUAAAAAUUACUUUUCACUACAUAGUUGAAACCCAACAGUUUUGAUUGGUGAUCCUGCAAAAUCAAUUGAAAAUUAAUUGUGAAUCCAAAAAAUAAUCAGUAUAAAAUUUUUGGUUG